UUCGGCCGGAGUCCGGCCUUCGUCAGGCCUUGGUGAAAACAGCAACAACGGACGAUUUAAUCUUCGACGUUUCGGCCGGAGUCCGGCCUUCGUCAGGACGUUUCGGCCGGAGUCCGGCCUUCGUCAGGCCUCCUGACGAAGGCCGGACUCCGGCCGAAACGUCGAAGAUUAAAUCGUCCGUUGUUGCUGUUU
rnacentral:SRP_RNA from 1 species